rnacentral:rRNA from 1 species
GCGCGAAAACUUUACAAUGCGGGCAACCGUGAUAAGGAAACCCCGAGUGCCAGCACAGGCUGGCUGUCCACCAGUGUAAAAAACUGGUGAAGAAAGGGCCGGGCAAGACCGGUGCCAGCCGCCGCGGUAAUACCGGCGGCUCGAGUGGUGGCCGCUUUUACUGGGCUUAAAGGGUCCGUAGCUGGAUUCACAAGUCCCUUGAGAAAUCUAUCGGCUUAACUGAUAGGCGUUCAGGGGAUACUGUGGUUCUAGGGACCGGGAGAGGUGAGAGGUACUGCCGGNGUAGGA